rnacentral:rRNA from 1 species
GACGAACGCUGGCGGCGUGCUUAACACAUGCAAGUCGAACGGUGAAGGUGGAGCUUGCUCCGCCGGAUCAGUGGCGAACGGGUGAGUAACACGUGGGCAACCUGCCCCAGACUUCGGGAUAACUCCUCGAAAGAGGCGCUAAUACCGGAUACGAGUUCUGCAGGCAUCUGCGGAAUUGGAAAGUUUUUCGGUCUGGGAUGGGCCCGCGGCCUAUCAGCUUGUUGGUGAGGUAACGGCUCACAAAGGCGACGACGGGUAGCCGGCCUGGGAGGGCGACCGGCCACACUGGGACUGAGACACGGCCCAGACUCCUACGGGAGGCAGCAGUGGGGAAUAUUGCGCAAUGGGCGAAAGCCUGACGCAGCAACGCCGCGUGCGGGAUGAAGGCCUUCGGGUUGUAAACCGCUUUCAGCAGGGAAGAAGCGAAAGUGACGGUACCUGCAGAAGAAGCACCGGCUAACUACGUGCCAGCCGCCGCAGUAA